rnacentral:rRNA from 1 species
UACGUAGGUCCCGAGCGUUGUCCGGAUUUAUUGGGCGUAAAGCGAGCGCAGGUGGUUUAUUAAGUCUGGUGUAAAAGGCGGUGGCUCAACCAUUGUAUGCAUUGGAAACUGGUAGACUUGAGUGCAGGAGAGGAGAGUGGAAUUCCAUGUGUAGCGGUGAAAUGCGUAGAUAUAUGGAGGAACACCGGUGGCGAAAGCGGCUCUCUGACCUGUAACUGACACUGAGGCUCGAAAGCGUGGGGAGCAAACAGG